UUUUAAAUUGCCAGCAUUAAAAUAUUUAGACAUGGGAACAACACAAGUGUCACUUACAACUAUUGAAAGCAUCGUCAUGAUGACCCUUGAAUUGGAAAAACUGAUCUUACCUAGCCGUAUGGCCUGCUGCCUCUGCCAAUUUAAAAAUACCAUUGAGGUUGUCUGAAAGACAGUCCAGCUGCGUUGUGACAGUGAAUGCCUGACAGACGUCACACGUUGUGGUUUGUCUCGGCACCAGAUAAAGGCGGUUCAUCAUAAUAUGCUUGCCCUAAACAGCUCCAGAUGCCAAGAAUUGGCAAAUUACUUCUUUGGUUUCCAUGGGUGGUCAAAAAGGAUCAUCAAGCUUCAGGAUCUUUCCAACCUUGAAGAAAGGGAAAAUACAGAUAUUGUGACACCACUUCAGAAGCAAAGCCUGAAGUUCUUCUGUGCUUUAGAGGUGGUGUUGACUUCCCACAAGUGCAGGAGUCCCUGAGCUGGCAUGGCUGAGGAACCUUUGGAUAAGUUGGAGGAAGGUCUGUUUUCCAGUAUCUGUGUGUGUGUGGGGAGGUGAGGCAGUGGGAUUUCUCUUUUUUCCUUUCUUUCUGAAACUCAACUUUUCAGAUACAUCCUCACCUUUUCUAAGCAACUAAAGCCCUGGGCAGAAUUGUUCUGCCCGAUAAUAUAGGUUUUUAUCUUAGGCAAUACCUGACAACACCUUAAACUUUAGAAUUUUAGAACUCGCUGCCUGCCAAGAAGCUUAGGAGGAGGGAAAAUUAGUUAUUAUUAUUAUUAUAUUUUUGGUUAAUAAUUUGUUUUGUGCUAAAAUAAUCCUUGAAAUACAGAUGUCUUCUGGCCUUCAGUUAUCCCAAAAAAAUCAUUGUCUGAAGAUUGAAAUAAACUCAUGUGUAAAUGUCCAGUCCUUUGCCUCCUAUAGAAUGGCCUGAGCAGAAAAAUAAAUGUAGAUCCCUAGAAAGGGGAUUCUCAUUGAUACUGAGAUUUUUCCUAGAUUCCAUGGCACUUGGGCUUAGGGUUUUAAGUCAGAAGCAGGGCUGUUAGCGAAUGGGGUGGAGGAGGCUCCACUAUUCACCUGAGUGGGUGAUGGUUGAGUAGAGUCCAGAUCAUCUGCACUACAACCAAAUCUGUCUCACUGUAUGAGUCCAGCCCUUGAUGCAGAGGAGAGCAGGGUCUGUAGCAGUGCAGCCUCAGCUUCUCCAUUUGAAAUCUGUGAGUAAUAUGAGAUUUGUGCCACGUUCUUGGUUUGCAUUUCCCGUGUAGUAUUUUAGGAACUUCCAGAAUAGAUCCGAGCCGUAAAAAUGUGCCAUGCCAGGGUAUACCUAAAACAGAGACAUUCACCCGUAGCCCAGUGUUGUGCCUGCUUUAAUCACUAAGGGUCAUUAUCAUUCCUUAUGAGAAGGAAGAUAACCCAGAAGCUUGCUGUUCAGAAAGCUAUGACAGAUGGAUUCCAGAAAUUGCUGAUUGUGGUUUUAGUUAUACAGCGGUGAGAAUGUCACAGGCUGUGCCCAAAGGAAACUUUAUGAUUAGUAGAUUCCGGCAACAGAAUUGCUCCCCUGCUUCACAGCCCUGCAGGCUUAGAGACUGAGAAAUCCUAGGUAAGUUGUCAGCGACCUUAUUGGCUUGUAAGAGUUGACCCUGGAUUGGACUUGGCCUUCCAGCCUGGGCAGCCCUUCCAGUGAAGUUUGACUAUCUGGUCAUCAGGCACAGUCUCCAUCCGCUGUCAACUCUGGGUAACAACCUUUAAGAACCAAACUAAAUGCCUGAGUUGUUUGUGCCUAAUAUGCCAAGG